rnacentral:rRNA from 1 species
UUGUACACACCGCCCGUCACACCAUGGGAGUUGGAAAUGCCCGAAGUCAGUGACCCAACCGGAAGGAGGGAGCUGCCGAAGGCAGGUUCGAUAACUGGGGUGAAGUCGUAACAAGGUAAC